AACAUCGCGCACCUGCGGGAACCUGCGGAGGGAUCAUUACUGAGUCACGUGCUCAAACAACCCUUCUGUGGACCUGAAAUAAAACCGUUGCCUCGGCGGGCGGUCCCCCCCAAACCAACCCCGCGUGGUGGGUUAGGGGAGACCAGACAGUCCGGUACGCUUAAGGCGUCCGGCGCCAGCCGCUGGCCCCAAACAAUUAAACUCUAGUAAUCUUUACCUUCUGAGUUUCAAUAUUUAAAA
rnacentral:misc_RNA from 1 species